ACUACGGGUGGCAGCAGUGGGGGAUAUUGCACAAUGGGGGAAACCCUGAUGCAGCGACGCCGCGUGUGGGAAGACGGUCCUCUGGAUUGUAAACCACUGUCCCCAGGGACGAAGAUGACGGUACCUGGGGAGGAAGCUCCGCGUAACUACGUGCCAGCAGCCGCGUGAAUAUGUAGGGAGCGAGCGUUGUUCGGAAUUACUGGGUGUGAAGGGAGCGUAGGCGGGACUGCAAGUUGGGGGUCAAAUCUACCGGCUCAACCGGUAGCCGCACUCGAAACUGCAGUUCUUGAGUGAAGUAGAGGCAGGCGGAAUUCCGAGUGUAGCGGUGAAAUGCGUAGAUAUUAGGAGGAACACCAGUGGCGAAGGCGGCCUGCUGGGCUUUUACUGACGCUGAGGCUCGAAAGUGUGGGGAGCAAACAGGAUUAGAUACCCGGGUAGUC
rnacentral:rRNA from 1 species